CCUACGGGGGGCUGCAGUGGGGAAUAUUGGACAAUGGGGGGAACCCUGAUCCAGCCAUGCCGCGUGUGUGAAGAAGGCCCUCGGGUUGUAAAGCACUUUCAGUGAGGAAGAACGCCUGGUGGUUAAUACCCAUCAGGAAAGACAUCACUCACAGAAGAAGCACCGGCUAACUCCGUGCCAGCAGCCGCGGUAAUACGGAGGGUGCGAGCGUUAAUCGGAAUUACUGGGCGUAAAGCGCGCGUUGGUGGCUUGAUAAGCCGGUUGUGAAAGCCCCGGGCUCAACCUGGGAACGGCAUCCGGAACUGUCAAGCUAGAGUGCAGGAGAGGAAGGUAGAAUUCCCGGUGUAGCGGUGAAAUGCGUAGAGAUCGGGAGGAAUACCAGUGGCGAAGGCGGCCUUCUGGACUGACACUGACACUGAGGUGCGAAAGCGUGGGUAGCAAACAGGAUUAGAUACCCUGGUAGUC
rnacentral:rRNA from 1 species